rfam:Gossypium raimondii Chr06_contig_1293, whole genome shotgun sequence.
UAUUAAAAGUUACAUUCGUUCCUAAUGUUAAAAAUUAGUUUAGUUGAUGGAAUAACUAAACAAUUACAGUCAUGUGUACCUCAUGUUGAUGUACAUGACCAAUUUUUAACAGUAGAAAGGGAUAAAAUUUUGAAUG